UACGGAGGGUGCAAGCGUUGUCCGGAUUUAUUGGGUUUAAAGGGUGCGUAGGCGGUUUAUUAAGUCAGUGGUGAAAGUCUUGGGCUUAACCGAAGGAAUGCCAUUGAUACUGAUAAACUUGAGUACAGUUGAGGUAGGCGGAAUUGACAGUGUAGCGGUGAAAUGCUUAGAUAUUGUCAAGAACACCGAUUGCGAAGGCAGCUUACUAAGCUGAAACUGAACGCGUGAGG
rnacentral:rRNA from 1 species